rnacentral:rRNA from 1 species
AUGCAAACUGCGAAUACCGGAGAAUGUUAUCACGGGAGACACACGGCGGGUGCUAACGUCCGUCGUGAAGAGGGAAACAACCCAGACCGCCAGCUAAGGUCCCAAAGUCAUGGUUAAGUGGGAAACGAUGUGGGAAGGCCCAGACAGCCAGGAUGUUGGCUUAGAAGCAGCCAUCAUUUAAAGAAAGCGUAAUAGCUCACUGGUCGAGUCGGCCUGCGCGGAAGAUGUAACGGGGCUAAACCAUGCACCGAAGCUGCGGCAGCGAACGUAUCACCCAAGACAACUUUACGGAGUUGACGAUUGACGGAGCGAAGCGACGUCAAAGCGUUCAUUAAAGUCGAGUUGGCUUAGGGAUACGUUCGUUGGGUAGGGGAGCGUUCUGUAAGCCUGUGAAGGUGUGUCGUGAGGCAUGCUGGAGGUAUCAGAAGUGCGAAUGCUGACAUAAGUAACGAUAAAGCGGGUGAAAAGCCCGCUCGCCGGAAGACCAAGGGUUCCUGUCCAACGUUAAUCGGGGCAGGGUGAGUCGACCCCUAAGGCGAGGCCGAAAGGCGUAGUCGAUGGGAAACGGGUUAAUAUUCCCGUACUUGGUGUUACUGCGAAGGGGGGACGGAGAAGGCUAUGUUGGCCGGGCGACGGUUGUCCCGGUUUAAGCGUGUAGGUGUGUGUUCCAGGUAAAUCCGGUUCACUUUAACACUGAGGCGUGACGACGAGGCACUACGGUGCUGAAGCAACAAAUGCCCUGCUUCCAGGAAAAGCCUCUAAGCAUCAGGUAACACGAAAUCGUACCCCAAACCGACACAGGUGGUCAGGUAGAGAAUACCAAGGCGCUUGAGAGAACUCGGGUGAAGGAACUAGGCAAAAUGGUGCCGUAACUUCGGGAGAAGGCACGCUGACACGUAGGUGAAGUGAUUUACUCAUGGAGCUGAAGUCAGUCGAAGAUACCAGCUGGCUGCAACUGUUUAUUAAAAACACAGCACUGUGCAAACACGAAAGUGGACGUAUACGGUGUGACGCCUGCCCGGUGCCGGAA